UGACAAGGAAGAGUUUCAUACUAAGCCUCAAACAAGAUAAAUCUGUUCAAAAUCUUUAAGCAAAACAAGUGACAAAUAAUGCAAGCUGGUGAACAAAACAGAGUAAAAGAAAAAAAAAGAAAAGAUCAGAUAAGAAGUCAGAGAAAUAAUAGUAAUAGACACACAAAAGUCUUUCCCACCAAACAGCCAAUGGGAAGAGGAGGAAGAUGACAAAGACACCUGAAUCUUUCCACUGCGCUCCAUGGAAACCAUAAGCCUUUCCCAGGCAGCAUUCACAAGAUAGUAGCGGUGGUAAAAGCAUGGCAGUAUGGCACUAUGGGCUAUAAAAACCAACAAUGUUUUCUGAGCACUUACUAAGCAUUUUACAGAAUUAUUCCAUUGAAUCCUCAACACAGUGUUUUAUUCUUUUUUAGAGAUGAGAAAAUUGAAAGUUAGACAUUAAGGAACAUAUGUGAGGUGACACAGGAGGCAUAACUGAUUCAAAAACAGUCUAUCUGAUUUCAGAGCCACAUUGUCAAUCACUAUACUAUACUCUCAAAUGAGAUAUGUACAUGUCGAAGUUAUUAAAACACAUGGAUGGUAUAGCAUUUGUAAAACUAAAAGGCUUUUGAAAUGCUACUUUCGUUACAACCUUGUUAUUCAGUUAAUAAAUAUUCUCAAGACUUUAAAACUUUUUGCCCCUAGCCCUCUCACAUAUAUAUGUGUGUGUGUUUUACACAGUGAUCUAUUAUACACACAUGAAAUAUGUGUUUCAUAAAACUAUACUAAUUUUUACUACAUGUAAUAUAUUCUGUAUAUUCUAUUCUACCUCUUUUUUUAAUGCUGGAAUUAAUUUCAUGACCCGCAAAUAGAUGGCAUCUUGCAGUUUAAACAAAACAACUCUGCUCUAGACUACAGGGGCGUGGAUUUUUGGAAAUACAGGCAGAGACAUCCUGCGAUGUCAGAACCACAUACAGUCAUCCUGAAAAAGGAUUAAAUAAGACACAUGUACGAGAAAUCACUUGGCAGAGAGCCUGGCACAAACAGGUAUUCAAUAAAAUCAGUUUCCAGGACACCUCCUGCAGCAUUACUCUCCCCCAGCAUUUAGAGAAGUGAAGCUACUCCACCAUGAUCACAAGCAUUAUAGUCAAUGAGCUGCGGGCCAAGGCUAACUACCUUAAAGUUUUAAUUUUUGACCAACACCAAGGAAUGGAGCUGUGCUACCUACAUGACCUUUGCUGAUGAAAGCAACUUAUAAUUUCCAAGAUUUUUAUUUCUUUUUUGGCCACCCCUAAACAUAAGGAAGUUUGCAGGCCAGGGAUUGAAUCCGAGCCAGAGCUGUGAUCUACACCACAGCUGCAGCAACACCAAAUCCUUAACCCACUUGGGGAUCCUUAACCAGGCCGGGGAUCGAGCCAGCACCUCCACCGAGACAAGAUUCUUAACCCACUGUGCCACAGGACAUCCAAGAAAAUGUUUUUUUAAUGAGAAAUUCUGAUAGAAAAACUUCUGAAGUAUAUUAAACACUGACUUGAAUUCUUAAAAGAAUUGUACAGAAUUUAGCCUUUUCUCAAGGAUCCAGGGUCCUAACUAUGCACACACAAUGAAAAAAUUUUAGAGCUAGUACAUGCCUACCUUAGAGUUCACCAAUCAGGUCUCUCACUUUACAGAUGAACAAAUUGAUGUCCCAAGAGAUUUGGGGACGAUUUGCACAAAGCCACCCAGUAGGAAAGUCAAGUGAUUCCCAUUAUGCCAUGCUGCCGUAUCUUAUUACUGUAUUAUGCUGCAGCAUGAUCCAGGGAGGUAGUCAGGAUUUAGGAGCAAUACCCCUUGUAAUUUCCCCCAUGCUUAUUAUUUUUGUUAUGUCAUUUCUUUCCCCACAAUCUUUAGCAAUAAAACUCUUAAAGCAAAAGGAUCUAUGUGUUCAUCCUCUGAAGGAAAAAUGUUAAGUUAGUCUACUCCACAGCCCAUUUAGGGGAAGAACUCCAAACAUAGUAUGUAUGGUGGACUUUAGAAAGGAAAGGGAGGCAGGGAGUUCUCUUAUGGCUCAGCAAGUUAAGGAUCUGGCACUGUCACUGCAGUGGUUUGGAUCACUGCUGUGGGGCAGGUUUGAUACCUUGCCUAGGAACUUCUACAUGUAUCCUCAGAAUAGGCAAUACAGUAAAUAUCACAAGGGCCAGGACUAGGUUCUCAGUCAAUAUGGACUGAAUACCCUACAAAAAAUGAGCGUCUGUCACUACACUAAAUGGUCCCAGGCCGCUGUACAUUCUGAUGUAGGUUUGCCUUUCAGUUGUCUCUCUCCUUACCCGUAAGGAUAUGAACUAACCCUUAUGUCUAAUGACACCCCCCCACACAGAGCUUUUGCAGAAGUUGAUAACAUUUCCUAUAUCUUAAUAGGAUGCUUCUAAUAUGCUGAGUAUGCUAGAAUUAUUUCUAAAAUAAGAAUGAAUAUAUUCUAAGUGAGAGAAGGAGGGAUUCCCCUAUGUAAGAAACAUGCCAAUAUUAUCACCUAACUCUUGUAACUUCCAUCUUGCCUGCCCUUCUAUUGAUGGCUCUGCUGCAGAUUACAGAUUAUACAGGUUGCCAGAUAAGUUACCUCCAGUGAGGUGUUAUGUUAUUAGGACUAUUUUUAACCUGUAACCAAUGAUACUUCUCUGUAACCCACAAAAUUAUCAUUCAAAUAAAUGUCUUUUUAAAUGGCAAAAUGUCAAAAAUGACAACUGUGCACCCAAACUGAAGGCCCUUUUCUAGACACAUCACUGCAUCCAUUAUUGUUCUCUCCUUUGAGACUCCUUUUGGCCCUCCUUUCUUAUUCCAUUUUCUUCCAUAUUUUCCAUUUCGAGUACUUUAUCUUAUUCCUCUGCCUUUGGGUACCUGAGAGAUAUUUCCUGUAUUUUGUAAUCAGAGGGUUACUUAACAAGAGAAUAUAUACAAAGCUUUAUUUUCCCAUAAUUUCUUCAAAACAUAAUCUUAAAGAAAAUGUUUUAUUAUGAAGAAUGAAAAUAUAAAUUAAUCAAGGUCAAAGGGAUUUAUAAUAUUAACUAUAGAUUAUUUUACUUGAUGAAGCAAUUGUCUCAACAUUUUCACUAGAACUAAAUCUGUUUUUAGUUCUUUUUCUCUUAAAACUGCAUCUCAUUGCCUAUUUCUUCAUGUUUCUAAUACAGGCAUGAUUAAUUCCACUUUUGUUAAUACAACUGAAUCUUUGAAAUACUGCUUUUUCUAUGAUUUACUCAAGCAAGCACAUUUAGUAAGGCAAAACAUUUUAUUUAUUUAUUUUAUGUAUUUAUAUUUAUUACAUUUUAUUUUUCUUUUUUUAGGGUCACAUUUGUGGCAUAUGGAAAUUCCUGGGCUAGGAGUCAAAUUGGAGUUGCAGCUGCCAACCUAUGCCACAGCCACAGCAAUAGAAGAUCCAAGCUGCGUCUGUGACCUACAGCUCACUGCACCGCCAGAUCCUUAAUCCCCUGAGGGAGGCCAGGGGACGAACCCAUAUCCUGGAUACUAGUCCUGUUUUUAACCUUCUGAGCCACAACGGGAAUUCCCCACGCAAAACAUUUUAAAGACUACUUUCAGCAAACUAUUUUGGAAGAGAAAUAUUCCAAACACAUUAAAAUAAUUCUUGUUAAUUAAUGACUAGGGUUACUGGAUUCAUUUAUUUGGGAAAUGACUUUUACCCAAUUUUUCCACUUUGACAUACCUAAAAAUAAAGCUACAUAUCAUAAAUUUGAGUAAUGUACUUGAUAAAAAUGUGUUCAUUAAGUGAUAUGAAAAACUUUUAACUUCAAAUAAGUUUUCCCCAUACUUUGAGAAAUAACUUUACUCUCAUGGAAAUAAGUCUAAGAUGAAUCUUUUCCCAAAUAUCCAGGAUGCCUCCUAAUGCAAUUUUCUGGAUCAGUCACAGAAUCUUCCUAACUCUCUUAUUUUAUGAGAUUCCAACAGGAUGGAUGUAGUCCAUAUUAUAAACUGAACUAGAUGGCAAAAUAUUUCUUAUAUAAGAAUUAACAGUACUUAAUAUAAGAAUUAGCACUCAUCAAUUAAAAUUUUAAUCGAGAUAAGAAAAAAAUCGCAAGGACUCAAGGUAAUUUUUAAAACACCCUAAGUUCUGAGGUAGCAACAACAAAAAAGGCAGUAACAUAGGACCCAAGUAUGGAUAACAACUAUUCUAAAGCAGCUGUUGUUCCAAGUUUUAGGAUAGACUGGAGAGAAUAGAGUCUAACUGAACCCUUCCAGCUCUCAUCCAACAUCUGUUCAUAGCAGCUACAGCAAGGUUAUCUGUAGCCAUGCGGUGUUCAGGUUGAGAAUAAAUAUGUCCUUGCUGUUUUGAGAACAAUUACCCAUGUACAAGAAUAAGAGAAUUUUUAGUUAGACAACACCUGAAAGGCUAUCCAUUAAAGCCUUCCUAUACUCAAAAACAAGGAAACUGAGACUCAGAGAGAUUAAGUGCCUAGCUCUAGAAAUUCACACAGCUAGUUAAUGGCCAAGCAGGGUCUAGAACCAAGUUUUUCCAAUUAUUUCUAUUCAUAUGGGUUAACUCUGAGGGUCAGAACCACUAAUUCUCAUUCUGGGAUGGAAUGGGCCUUUGGAAAUUUACCAGUUGUGUGAUCUUAUGCAAACUGCGAUCUCUCCAAGCCUUUUUCCCUCCUCUGUAAAGUGUAGAUAAGACCUAUUCUAACUAGGUUGUUGUGAGGAUUACAUAUGGCUUGUAAAGUGCUUAGCACAUCGAUUAGCCAGUAAUACACAUUCCAAAACAGACAGUUUUAUUAUUUUUACUCCCGACCUGGAAACAUGGCCACUCCUACUAUUUGAGAAGACAAUGAACUGAAUUCAUUAACACAAUGGACAGGGUCUCAUACACCAGAGCUUCUCCAGCCUACCACGUUCUGCAGACAGGAGAAAACCCCUCCCUACAAACUAUUUCACUCCAUCUAAAAUCCAUCCUUUACAUUGUUAAAAACAAUACAUGAACUGCUGCCAAAUGUUUUCUGCCACAUGCUGUAACGUGUAAUUUGUCAACUAGAAAUUGAAGGGGAAGUUCUGUCACCACCCAAAACAUGGAGAAUAAACGAUAGGGAAGAAAAGGGGGAAGAUAAGAUCACACACCUGAACUGGACACGCUUGUUCUCAGCUAAUUUAGCUGUGGGUAGAUAAGUGAGUGGUAGAAAACAAAACGCUUUCUUUCAGCACCAUAAAGCAGGAAUAAUGGCUACCUCAACAAAUUACAACCCCCUAGGAUUCUCAAGACAAUAGAAAAGAAUCCAUUUCCUUGCUUUAGUAAAUUAAAACGUACAUGGGCAACAACUAACACGCUGUAUCCGGGCUGCACUGCAGCCUAAAACUUUAUAAAUAUAUGAAAAAUUCCUACGAAUGGCGAGACAAAAUGAUGGGGAGGAUCACCUUGAAAUCCACAAGAAGGAAAUCAUGUCAUGCCAAAGGUGUCUCCAUUGAUAAAAUCCCAACCCUCCAUUCUCAUGACACUGUACACCCACCUCCCUCUAAGGAAAUUACAGGAAUCACCCGCAGCAACCAACCUCAGCAAUCGGCAUCGACCAGAUCGACCCCUACUCAAAUGGCGCUAAGCACAGCCGGUCCAAGCCCCUCCCUGGAGCUGCCAAGUCCCGCGCUGACUCCAGACUACCUCACUUCCUUUCCGUCCUCCCUCUCAUGCUCGACCCCCAACAUUUCUCGCCGACCCUUGCCACUGACAGAGAAGGUAGGAACGGGAAAGACUUCCUACAGUUUGUCCAGGGAGUACCAUAGCCACACAUACCCGUCCCUAUUACGAUCACAUCAAACUCCGAGGGGAGAUUUUCCGCCAUCUUGACAGGAAAUGU
rnacentral:lncRNA from 1 species